AAUGUACCCAAUAAAGGUGCAAAUGUUGAUUAUCUACCCUAAUGUACCCUACGAAAGGUGCAAAUGUUGAUUGUCUACCCUAAUGUACCCUACGAAAGGUGCAAAUGUUGAUUGUCUACCCUAAUGUGCCCAAUGAAAGGUGCACAUGUUGAUUGUCUACUCUAAUGUACCCUACGAAAGGUGCAAAUGUUGAUUAUCUACCCUAAUGUACCCUACGAAAGGUGCAAAUGUUGAUUGUCUACCCUAAUGUACCCUACGAAAGGUGCAAAUGUUGAUUGUCUACCCUAAUGUACCCUAUGAAAGGUGCACAUGUUGAUUGUCUACUCUAAUGUACCCUACGAAAGGUGCAAAUGUUGAUUGUCUACCCUAAUGUACCCUACGAAAGGUGCAAAUGUUGAUUGUCUACUCUAAUGUACCCUAUGAAAGGUGCAAAUGUUGAUUGUCUACCCUAAUGUACCCUACAAAAGGUGCAAAUGUUGAUUGUCUACCCUAAUGUACCCUAUGAAAGGUGCAAAUGUUUUUUGUCUACCCUAAUGUACCCUAUGAAAGGUGCAAAUGUUGAUUGUCUACCCUAAUGUACCCUACGAAAGGUGCAAAUGUUUUUUGUCUACCCUAAUGUACCCUAUGAAAGGUGCAAAUGUUGAUUGUCUACCCUAAUGUACCCUACGAAAGGUGCAAAUGUUGAUUGUCUACCCUAAUGUACCCUACGAAAGGUGCAAAUGUUGAUUAUCUACCCUAAUGUACCCUACGAAAGGUGCAAAUGUUGAUUGUCUACCCUAAUGUACCCUAUGAAAGGUGCAAAUGUUGAUUGUCUACUCUAAUGUACCCUACGAAGGUGCAAAUGU